rnacentral:rRNA from 1 species
AGGAUUAACGUUGGCGGCGUGCAUAACGCAUGCAAGUUGAGCGUGGCUUUAGUUUACUAAAGUCUAGCAGCGAACGGCUGAGUAAUGCACAGGAACGUACCUCAAAGUGGGGAAUAGCCCUUCGAAAGAAGGGGUAAUACCGCAUGUGCUCGCAAGAGUAAAACCGCAAGGUGCUUUGAGAACGGCCUGUGUCCUAUCAGGUUGUUGGUAGGGUAAUGGCCUACCAAGCCUAUGACGGGUAGCUGGUCUGAGAGGAUGACCAGCCAGAUCGGGACUGAGACACGGCCCGAACUCCUACGGGAGGCAGCAGCUGGGAAUAUUGCGCAAUGGACGAAAGUCUGACGCAGCGACGCCGCGUGGAGGAUGAAGGCUCUCGGGUUGUAAACUCCUUUGCGGGAGAGUAAUUUUGAAGUAUCUCGCGAAUAAGCACCGGCUAACUCCGCGCCAGCAGCCGC